UGUAGGAGUGAGCCUGCUCGCGAUAGCGGUGUGUCAGCCAAAAAGUUGCCAACUGAUAGACCGCUAUCGCGAGCAGGCUCACUCCUACA
rnacentral:misc_RNA from 1 species